UAUGUAUUUAUUUAUAGUACGAAUCCUGCUAUAGAGAGCAGAGAAGCACCAAAUAAUCAACAGCUACAGAACAGAAAUUAAGAACUGACUACUGAGUUACAACGAUCUCACAUGAAACAGUACAAGCGGUUAAAGCAAUAAAACACGGUAAACCAGCUAACAUUUGACUUGGAACAGCAAUUCUCCUUCUUGUUCAGUUCAGUUUUGUGGUCAUCCCCAGUUGCAUGAUCCUCCUCCUUGUCAACAACGAGGAUGUUAUCACCUACAGAGUGAUCUUUACUCCGUAGGAAUUGAGACCAACCCAUGAACGUAACCGGUGCUGUUGAUGGUAGCAAAGCUGCUAUGCAAUCUUGGUUCUUG
rnacentral:lncRNA from 1 species